UCAGAGGAGAACCUGUAACACGAGAAAAAAAAAAAAAAGAGAGAGAGAGAGAGAGAGAAUUCCGCAUAAGAAAUCUUACGCUUCGCCACCCAGCGACUCAUCAAGGAUCAGAGUUUGAACUUCUGCACGAUCUUCAGCCAUUGCACCUAUGCAUUUCACCGAUGUCGUUCGAUACAUGGGGAUAAGGUCGUGAACCUAGAGGCUGCGCUUUUGUUUUGUUCAUAUCAAAGCACUGUGAUCAAGAACAGCACAGAAGUUUCCACUCCUCCACAGGAAUGUCCCAAAAGGAGAGACCCACUUUUUACCGACAGGAGCUCAAUAAGACCAUAUGGGAGGUGCCGGAGCGGUACCAGAGUUUAUCACCCGUGGGUUCUGGAGCUUAUGGAUCCGUAUGCUCAGCAUAUGACGAAAAGUCAGGCCUGAAGGUUGCGGUGAAGAAGCUGUCUCGGCCGUUCCAGUCCAUCAUCCAUGCCAAACGCACGUACAGAGAACUCCGGCUGCUCAAACACAUGAAACACGAGAAUGUAAUCGGCCUCCUCAAUGUUUUCUCACCCUCCACCAGCCUAGAAGAAUUCAAUGACGUGUACUUGGUGACUCACCUCAUGGGCGCAGACCUCAACAAUAUCGUCAAGUGUCAGAAGUUGACAGACGAUCACGUCCAAUUCCUCAUUUACCAGAUCCUACGAGGAUUGAAGUACAUUCACUCAGCAGGCAUCAUCCACAGGGAUCUUAAACCCAGUAACUUGGCUGUAAAUGAAGACUGUGAGCUUAAGAUUCUGGACUUUGGGCUGGCACGACUUACAGACGAUGAGAUGACGGGAUAUGUAGCCACCCGAUGGUACCGUGCCCCAGAGAUCAUGCUCAACUGGAUGCACUACAACAUGACAGUGGACAUCUGGUCAGUUGGCUGCAUAAUGGCUGAGCUCCUCACUGGACGGACCCUGUUUCCCGGCACUGAUCAUAUUGAUCAGUUGAAGCUUAUCAUGAUGCUCGUCGGAACCCCAGGGCCAGAGCUCUUGAUGAAAAUAUCUUCGGAGUCUGCCCUUGACCUGGGUUCCCCAAGAUAUAAACCAGCUUCAGCAGAUAAUGCGACUCACAGGGACCCCUCCAGCCUCUCUAAUAAGCAGGAUGCCAAGCCACGAGGCAAGGAACUACAUCAACUCCCUGCAACAUAUGCCCAAGAGGAACUUUGCAGAUGUGUUUAUUGGUGCAAACCCAUUAGCUGUGGACCUGCUGGAGAAGAUGCUGGUUCUGGACACAGAUAAACGUAUCACUGCGUCAGAGGCUCUUGCGCACCCGUACUUCACCCAGUAUCACGACCCAGAUGACGAGCCAGAGGCAGAGCCCUACGAUCAGAGCUUCGAGAGUCGUGAGCUUGAGAUCGAGGAAUGGAAACGGCUCACAUAUGAGGAGGUGAUCAGCUUCGAGCCUCCCGUGUUCGAUGGAGACGAGAUGGAAUCAUGAGGAGCCACCCUUUCUGGUCGACUCGCUAGAUCUUCAUCCACACAGGGAAAAGACAUUCAAGUGCCUGCCAUUAUGAAGUGCUGGCUUCCUUGUGUUCUCUGAGACCGCUUAUCCAUGCCUUUAUACACUCUGUCAAAUGAAGGAAACAAAACACACAUGCAAAGUUCUUCACUUGAAUUUCAAAAAAGGACACCGAGAUUGUAAUAUUUUGUGCACCGUUUUCUUUAUAUCUUUAUAUCUUUAUUUUCUUCCCCAAAAUUAACUAUUUUUAUGGCCAGACCACUUUCAAAUAAGAGUUUAGAAGAUAAAAAUAUGUAUUCUCACAUAUCAGUCAGAUGAAUAUCAGCAUUUUAAGCUUGCGGUUUCAUUUUUAAUACUCUCUUUCUGGGGAAGGAAAACAUUUACCUUGACUCCAAACUCUGCUUGAUGCCUAUAUAUUGCAAAUGGCCAGACAAACUCGAGUGCUGUCAAAAUGCUACGUUUUAGAUGUGUAAAUAAAAUGGCACAGCUGUAAAUAAAAAAUGAUGUGUGCCAACAGUUUUAUUUAGGAUUUGCAGUAAAGUACACCAUUACCAUCUGGUCUCAGAAUGUGACGUGUAAUUGAAGUAGCAAAAACGAUCUAACAAGUGAAUCCAAUCAGCUAAAGAGAAUAUUUUUUCCUAUUUAGUGCUCCGUGUAGAAUGUAAAUGAGAAGGGUAUGUCAAUGCAGGGUGGUUCUCCCAACUGAGUCUCUGUCCUAGAUAAUGGUGGAUGACAGGAUCAGUAAUAAAUGCUGAUUGAAUUAAUGUAACCAAGUUUGCUCUGAAAUAUCUUAGAAAAUAUUAAGAGAAAAUCACUUGGUGUGAGUGUGAUAAAAUGUUAAAAUGUAAAAGUUUUUGACAAACUUUUUGACAUGAAAAUGUUACGAGUGAAUCUCAGAAAACUGUCCAGGAACAUUAUAUUUAUGACAAUUAAGCAUGCCGCAAAAAACAAAAUCUCAUCACUUUACUGCUGAAAAGAAGAAUAAUCUACCAUUUAAAUUUGGAGGUAUUUCUAAAUCAUGGUGGUACUUGUACUGCCUUUAAUGUAUGGUGAUUUAAAUAAAAUGUAAUUUUAUUACAGUAAUUUUAACUGUAUUACAGUAAUGAGAAUUAUUAUUGAAAAUAAUGGGACUUGCACAAAAGAAAAAAUCUGGACACAUUAGAGUAACAAACAUUUAUGGUUCUUGGGAAAUUUGUGCUUGAUUGUCAUGCAAUUGUAAUUUUAUAUUUAAUCUGGGGUGAAAUGUGACCUGACCAGACGUCGUCUUGACCAGUUUCGUGAGAUUCACCCUUAUAUCUCUCUCAAAUACAGAGGUCUCUGCCUUUUUUCCCCCAGUGAGUGCACUCCAUGUUACAGGGCAGCUGGUAAUCUAGCUAGACUGAAGUGCGGUUUCUUUAUCAUUUUGUUCCUUAAUUUAUUAUUUAUGAAAGUUGAGAGUAAUCGGUUUUAAAUGGAGAUCAAGAAUCUAACAGGAAGUUUGUAUCAUCAGGACAAUUCUUUGAGCAUUGCUGCGUUAUAGUCCAUGAAAAACAGUCCCCCAUACAGCCUGAGAGUACAUGCUUGUGAAAACGAAAGAACCUGAGCCAAUACUCUGUUCCAUUGCGUGUGGUGAUCCUAAUUUAACAUCCCAGAUUAAAAGACUCGCAGAAGUAAAAGACAGAAUUUAACUUAUUAUUGGUUCAAUUGUUUGUGUUCUCUUUUCCACUGUAUAUUAUCACUUAAUUUUAUGCAGCAAUAUUGUUUGUGUUGAGCAUGUAUCGUAUGUAAGGCAGUGUGUUUCUGUUGCACAUUUACAGUGAAAAUGUGUCAAUAGAUAAUGUGGUGCAUCCAGCAGUAAAAUCCAUUAAUUGUGAUUUAAUUUUUCAUGGAAAAGAGAUCAUCUUGUCUCUCUUUAGUGCAUACAACCAGUUUUUCCUUAUUCAGCCAUGAUAAGCAAUUACAGGAUGUGGUCUGUAAACAACCAUUGCUAUACAGGAAUAGAGGCAGUUAUUUUUCACAAUAUGCAUUCUUUGAUAUAACUCUUGCAAAUCAAGUAGAUUGGUGGUUUUUAAUUCAUUCUCAACAAUAAAAUUUUUGAAAGAGA